rnacentral:lncRNA from 1 species
ACGUUAGAACCAAAACCCAAAAUAAAUACCAAAUUAUUAAACCAAAGUCCAAAGAAUAAAACCAAAAUAAUAGAAUGUCAUAAAGGUCCAAAUAUUACAACCAAUAUUGAUACCCAAUGCCCCAUAGCCCAAAUACAACGGCCCAAUAACUGGAACAGACCCAAACGGCCCCAAAAAUUGAGCCAAGUUUCGGCAAACCCUAAGUCACCCCUCUCUCUUGCGCCGCAAUAGCAACUGGGCAAUGGACCCAUACCUCCACUACAGCAGUCCCAUACCUCCACAGCCCUCGUACGCCACGCCCCCACCCCGUGCGCAUGCCAACAGACUCUGUACCUGCAAGAAAGAAACAAAAACAACAGCGAAUGGAAACAAAUAUAUUGUAUAUUUUCGGUUGAUUUCCUUUUUCGACUAUAAAAGCCCAGCUUUUAAUCUUUGUAAGAGGGAGGGGGCAUAUUUUUACGAACGAAUACACAAUAGGCAAUACAAAAAAAAGCAAUAUUGGAAGGUGAUUUCUCCGAUCUAAAUCUCUGUGCUUUCUCUUUGUGAUUAUUUUCUUGCUUUUUUUUAUUUCGAAAGUAAAUAAAAGAAAAGGGGAACAUGAACACAGACGCACACAGAAUAUACACGCACAGAAAAAAAAAGCAAUUAAGAAUUUGCAAGGGUAAUCUCAAGUUUUCUUUCGUUCUUUCUUUUUUUUUCUUUUUUUUUUGGUUUAGAUCGUCUUUUAGUAGGUAAAUCGACUCCAAUGAGAUCCCGAAUACUUUAAGAUACAAAAGUAGGGGAGAGGGGUCAAGUGGUGUUGAAUCUCUAUUUUAUGAACUUUCUUCGUUUUUUUAAAAAAUGUAUGAGAUUUGAAGUUUAUUUUUUCUCAAGUAAAAAAGAAAAUACUUACUAAUUUCCUCAAGGCAUGGUCGAGUACUUACAGCAACAGAACCGGGAAUUGUUUUGCGCGCCGCUGGACACCAAAUCAGAUGGAGAUUCAGCUGCUUGUAAAAGGAACCCUAG